rnacentral:rRNA from 1 species
GAUGAACGCUGGCGGCGUGCCUAAUACAUGCAAGUCGAGCGAACAGACGAGGAGCUUUCUCCUCUGACGUUAGCGGCGGACGGGUGAGUAACACGUGGAUAACCUACCUAUAAGACUUGGAUAACUUCGGGAAACCGGAGCUAAUACCGGAUAAUAUAUUGAACCGCAUGGUUCAAUAGUUAAAUACGGUUUUGCUGUCACUUAUAGAUGGAUCCGCGCCGCAUUAGCUAGUUGGUAAGGUAACGGCUUACCAAGGCAACGAUGCGUAGCCGACCUGAGGGGAGGAUCGACAACUUGGGAACGAGGAAGCGCUCCAACACCGUAAGGGAGGCACCGGUAGGGAAUCUACGGGAAGGGGCGAAGGCCUAUCGGAGCAAAGCGGCGUGAGUGAUGAAGGGCUUCGGAUCGUAAAACUUUGUUAUUAGAGAGGAACAAAUGUGUAUGUACCUAUGCAAGUCUGGAAGGAACCUAAUAAGAAGGCCAGGCUUAAUUCGGG